UACAGAGGUCUCAAGCGUUGUUCGGAUUCAUUGGGCGUAAAGGGUGCGUAGGCGGCGCGGUAAGUCGGGUGUGAAAUCUCGGAGCUUAACUCCGAAACUGCAUUCGAUACUGCCGUGCUUGAGGACUGGAGAGGAGACUGGAAUUUACGGUGUAGCGGUGAAAUGCGUAGAUAUCGUAAGGAAGACCAGUGGCGAAGGCGGGUCUCUGGACAGUUCCUGUCGCUGAGGCACGAAGGUCAGGGGGAGCAAAACGGG
rnacentral:rRNA from 1 species